AUUGAACGCUGGCGGCAUGCCUUACACAUGCAAGUCGAACGGUAACAGGUCUUCGGAUGCUGACGAGUGGCGAACGGGUGAGUAAUACAUCGGAACGUGCCUAGUAGUGGGGGAUAACUACUCGAAAGAGUGGCUAAUACCGCAUGAGAUCUACGGAUGAAAGCAGGGGAUCGCAAGACCUUGUGCUACUAGAGCGGCCGAUGGCAGAUUAGGUAGCUGGUGGGAUAAAAGCUUACCAAGCCGACGAUCUGUAGCUGGUCUGAGAGGACGAUCAGCCACACUGGGACUGAGACACGGCCCAGACUCCUACGGGAGGCAGCAGUGGGGAAUUUUGGACAAUGGGCGAAAGCCUGAUCCAGCAAUGCCGCGUGCAGGAUGAAGGCCUUCGGGUUGUAAACUGCUUUUGUACGGAACGAAAAGCCCUGGGUUAAUACCCUGGGGUCAUGACGGUACCGUAAGAAUAAGCACCGGCUAACUACGUGCCAGCCGCCGCAGUAACAC
rnacentral:rRNA from 1 species